CUGAAGUAGGUACGCAAGUUCGGAAAAUUAUUCGGACUGCUCCUUCUGUUGAAGUUUUUACUGAUGCCUCAGAUUUAGGUUGGGGUGGUUGUGUAUUAAAGCAUUCCACCAAUGGUAAAUGGACAACAGAAGAAAGUUGCCUACACAUUAAUGCAAGGGAACUCAAGGCCAUCUUGUUUACCCUUCAAUCUUUUGCUUACUUGCUUAAAGGCUGCCAUGUUAAAGUUAUGUGUGAUAAUACCACAGCCAUUGCUUAUGUUAAUGAGAUGGGUGGAACUAAAUCACUAGUGUGUAACUCUAUCUGCAUUGAUAUCUGGAAUUGGUGUAUUUCCAAUGACAUCUGGAUUACUUGUGCACACAUACCAGGAAAGAAUAAUGUGUUGGCGGAUGAAGCCUCUCGUAAUUUUAAUGACAGACAUGAAUGGAAACUUAAUCCAAAGAUUUUUAAAGAGUUGUGUGUAGUUUUUGGAACUCCCUCCAUUGACUUAUUUGCUUCUCGCUUAAACAAGCAAAUAGAUUGUUUUUGCUCGUGGAGACCUGAUCCUGAAGCAAAGCAUGUGGAUGCGUUCACAUUAAAUUGGGCCAGUUUCGAUCUGAUUUACCUUUUCCCACCAUUUUCUCUCAUUACUAGGUGUCUACAGAAAAUGAGGGAGGAGAGAGCCAAGGGGUGGAUGGUUGUUCCAAUGUGGAAUUCCCAACCUUGGAUGGGCCCUCUUUUGCAAAUGUUGAUCAAGGCCCCCAGGCUCAUCACUCAGAAAACAAAUGUACUACGACAUCCCUCAUCAGCGGAAGAACACCCGAUUAUGACCCACACCCAAUUGAUGGCAUGUCUUUUGUCAGGCAACAACUUAGAGGGAGAGGUGUAUCGUCAGAAGGUACAGAGAUUAUCAUGGCAUCGUGGAGACCAGGUAUGCUGAAACCUGGGAUGUGCAGCCAGUAUUGCAGAAGCUGAGGUCCAUGAGCCCAUUACAAGACCUAUCUUUGAAAUCUUUAACUUUGAAAUUGGUGAUGCUUAUGGCAUUGACUCAAGCUGCAAGAGUACAGACCUUACAUUUAUUAUUGUAUUCCAAUGCUAUUGUUGAUAACAAUUCUGUAUCUCUUUUGUUAGGGGGCAACAUUAAGCAGUGUCGUCCGAAGUUUAAUGUGAGAAUGCUUAAGUUUCAUGCUUAUUUACCUGAUUCUAGAAUGUGUGUUGUAAAUACCUUGAAGGAAUAUUUUAACAGAACGGAGAAUCUGAGAAAGGAAUUUGGGAAGGAUAAUGGGAAACUCCUCAUCAGUGUGGUGAAGCCACAUAAAAGUGUUUCCAAAGAUACAGUGGCAAGGUGGAUUAAAACUGUUCUUGUCGACUGUGGUAUCAAUACUAAGAAAUUCACGGCUGGCAGUGUUCGACCAGCCUCUGCUUCCAAGGCCAAAGGAAUGGAUGUCCCAGUUAACAUUAUCUUAUCUAAGGCAGGUUGGACUCAGGAGACAACCUUUGCUAAACACUAUAAUAAGGAGAUCACUCAGGUUUCAGAUUUUUUUCAAGAGGCCAUACUGGAUUCUGUAUUGUAAUGUUAACAGGUUUCUCUAUUCAUUUGCGUUGGAUCUCAAUUGACAUAUUUUGUUUGUUUUAUACAUGUACUAUAUGUUUUUGUAAGGGACAUAUCUGUUUAAGGAGGAGGAUUUUUCAUACAAUGAAGUUGGGAUACAUA